rnacentral:rRNA from 1 species
AGAGUUUGAUCCUGGCUCAGAUUGAACGCUGGCGGAAUGCUUUACACAUGCAAGUCGAACGGCAGCACGGGAGCUUGCUCCUGGUGGCGAAUGGCGAACGGGUGAGUAAUGCGUCGGAACGUACCGAGUAAUGGGGGAUAACGCAGCGAAAGUUGUGCUAAUACCGCAUACGCCCUGAGGGGGAAAGUGGGGGAUCGCAAGACCUCACGUUAUUCGAGCGGCCGACGUCUGAUUAGCUAGUUGGUGAGGCAAUGGCUCACCAAGGCGACGAUCAGUAGCGGGUCUGAGAGGAUGAUCCGCCACACUCUAAUUGAGACACGGUCCAGACUCCUACGGGAGGCAGCAGUGGGGAAUUUUGGACAAUGGGCGAAAGCCUGAUCCAGCCGUUCCGCGUGAGUGAAGAAGGCCUUCGGGUUGUAAAGCUCAACCCCGGAACGAAACGGUACGCACUAACAUGCGUGCUAAUGACGUACCGCAGAGAG